UUUCUCUUCUCUUCUGGAUCAGUCACCACCUGAAGAUGUGUAUGGGCAGGUUCAGCCGCCGCUCCAUGGCCAGAGGCAGAAGGAGCCGCUACAGCUGCGGAUCAGGAUCCACCAACAGAUACAAGUCCUCUCCGUCCAGCAGAAGAAGGAGACGCAGGAGACGCUGAGGAGGACGGCGUCCAUCGUGAAGGUCUGGGCAGUUUCAUCAUCUGCGUCACCAUCCUCCUUCCGUCCCUCACUUUAGAAGAUAAGAUGGGCCCCAGUAAUAUGGAUGCUCUCCUGUGUGAGGGCCACUAUGCUUCACUCCUUGGUAGAAGAUAAGAUGGGCCCCGGUGAUCAGGACGUCUUUUCCCGUUGCCCUUAAUAAAUGUGACAGACAGAGCAUA